GACGAACGCUGGCGGCGUGCUUAACACAUGCAAGUCGAGCGGUAACAGGCGUAGCAAUACGUGCUGACGAGCGGCGAACGGGUGCGUAAUACAUCGGAAUCUGCCUCGUAGUGGGGAAUAACCCGGCGAAAGCCGGGCUAAUGCCGCAUACGAUCCACGGAUGAAAGCGGGGACGUAAGGCCUCGCGCUAUGAGAUGAGCCGAUGUCGGAUUAG
rnacentral:rRNA from 1 species